rnacentral:rRNA from 1 species
AUUGAACGCUGGCGGCAUGCCUUACACAUGCAGGUCGAACGGCAGCACGGGAGCAAUCCUGGUGGCGAGUGGCGAACGGGUGAGUAAAGUAUCGGAACGUGCCCAGUCGUGGGGGAUAACGUAGCGAAAGUUACGCUAAUACCGCAUACGAUCUAUGGAUGAAAGCGGGGGAUCGCAAGACCUCGCGCGAUUGGAGCGGCCGAUAUCAGAUUAGGUAGUUGGUGGGGUAAAGGCGCACCAAGCCGACGAUCUGUAGCUGGUCUGAGAGGACGACCAGCCACACUGGGACUGAGACACGGCCCAGACUCCUACGGGAGGCAGCAGUGGGGAAUUUUGGACAAUGGGCGAAAGCCUGAUCCAGCCAUGCCGCGUGCAGGAUGAAGGCCUUCGGGUUGUAAACUGCUUUUGUACGGAACGAAAAGGUUUGGCCUAAUAAGCUGAGCUCAUGACGGUACCGUAAGAAUAAGCACCGGCUAACUACGUGCCAGCCGCCGCGGUAA